GCUAGUUAGUAUUGGUUCUUGGAUCUGAAUUAACUGUCUUCAGUUCUCUACAAGUAGUGAAGAAAGUCCUUCGUUUCUUUAUCUAGAAUAAUUUCAAUUGAUACCAAAUAAAGGAGAGAGAAGAACUAACAUUGACUCCUGAAAUAGGACAACCCAAGAAGGAAGGAGCAGAGGAAAGGAAGGAGCUACGGGUGUGCCAUGAGAGGAGGUGAAGCAGCCUGCUUUCAACAGUGGAAAGGAGCGUUUUGCCUAGUUUGAAAGACUGGUGACAUGAAAGCGUAAAUUGCUGACACAUCUUCCUGAAGGUCUUUUAAGAGAGGAAAAUAUCAGUGAUAUACAAAGUAUUAGAAA
rnacentral:lncRNA from 1 species